rnacentral:rRNA from 1 species
GCGUUUGGAAAGAUUUUUCGGUUGGGGAGGGGCUCGCGGCCUAUCAGCUUGUUGGUGAGGUAAUGGCUCACCAAGGCGUCGACGGGUAGCCGGCCUGAGAGGGUGACCGGCCACACUGGGACUGAGACACGGCCCAGACUCCUACGGGAGGCAGCAGUGGGGAAUAUUGCACAAUGGGCGGAAGCCUGAUGCAGCAACGCCGCGUGAGGGAUGACGGCCUUCGGGUUGUAAACCUCUUUUAGCAGGGAAGAAGCGAAAGUGACGGUACCUGCAGAAAAAGCGCCGGCUAACUACGUGCCAGCAGCCGCGGUAAUACGUAGGGCGCAAGCGUUAUCCGGAAUUAUUGGGCGUAAAGAGCUCGUAGGCGGUUUGUCGCGUCUGCUGUGAAAUCCCGAGGCUCAACCUCGGGCCUGCAGUGGGUACGGGCAGACUAGAGUGCGGUAGGGGAGAUUGGAAUUCCUGGUGUAGCGGUGGAAUGCGCAGAUAUCAGGAGGAACACCGAUGGCGAAGGCAGAUCUCUGGGCCGUAACUGACGCUGAGGAGCGAAAGGGUGGGGAGCAAACAGGCUUAGAUACCCUGGUAGUCCACCCCGUAAACGUUGGGAACUAGUUGUGGGGUCCAUUCCACGGAUUCCGUGACGCAGCUAACGCAUUAAGUUCCCCGCCUGGGGAGUACGGCCGCAAGGCUAAAACUCAAAGGAAUUGACGGGGACCCGCACAAGCGGCGGAGCAUGCGGAUUAAUUCGAUGCAACGCGAAGAACCUUACCAAGGCUUGACAUAUACGAGAACGGGCCAGAAAUGGUCAACUCUUUGGACACUCGUAAACAGGUGGUGCAUGGUUGUCGUCAGCUCGUGUCGUGAGAUGUUGGGUUAAGUCCCGCAACGAGCGCAACCCUCGUUCUAUGUUGCCAGCACGUAAUGGUGGGAACUCAUGGGAUACUGCCGGGGUCAACUCGGAGGAAGGUGGGGAUGACGUCAAAUCAUCAUGCCCCUUAUGUCUUGGGCUUCACGCAUGCUACAAUGGCCGGUACAAAGGGCUGCAAUACCGUGAGGUGGAGCGAAUCCCAAAAAGCCGGUCCCAGUUCGGAUUGAGGUCUGCAACUCGACCUCAUGAAGUCGGAGUCGCUAGUAAUCGCAGAUCAGCAACGCUGCGGUGAAUACGUUCCCGGGUCUUGUACACACCGCCCGUCAAGUCAUGAAAGUCGGUAACACCUGAAGCCGGUGGCCUAACCCUUGUGGAGGGAGCCGUCGAAG